rnacentral:RNase_P_RNA from 1 species
AUUGCAGGUCGAUCUAUCGUCUCAUGAAAAUGGGAAGGAAAGUCCGAACAGCAUAGAGCAGUUUGACAGUUAACGGCUGUCUCGCCUCAGGCGGGAGAAAGUGCCACAGAAAAUAGUCUCGAUUUUUUUCGAGAGUGAAAAUAUAAGUUUGUAGUAAUACAUUCUUUUCGGUAAACCUCAAACGCUGAAACAUCAUGUAAACCAACGCUCAUAUACGGUGGCUCGCCUAAUGUUGGAGGGUAGAUGGAUAGAUUUCGAUAGCGAUAUCGGAACCAGAUAAAUGAUAGAUUAGAAACAGAAUUCGGCUUACGAGCCUGCUUUUUUA